rnacentral:rRNA from 1 species
AGAGUUUGAUCCUGGCUCAGGACGAACGCUGGCGGCGUGCUUAACACAUGCAAGUCGAACGAACCUUCACCCUUCGGGGUGGNNGGAGAGUGGCGAACGGGUGAGUAACACGUGAGCAACCUGCCCUUGACUCUGGAAUAACAGUUGGAAACAGCUGCUAAUACCGGAUAUGACCUCUGACGACAUCGUCUGGAGGUGGAAAGCUCCGGCGGUCAAGGAUGGGCUCGCGGCCUAUCAGCUUGUUGGUGAGGUAACGGCUCACCAAGGCUUCGACGGGNNGGNGGCCUGAGAGGGCGACCGGCCACACUGGGACUGAGAUACGGCCCAGACUCCUACGGGAGGCAGCAGUGGGGAAUAUUGCACAAUGGGCGCAAGCCUGAUGCAGCAACGCCGCGUGCGGGAUGACGGCCUUCGGGUUGUAAACCGCUUUCAGUAGGGACGAAGCUAACGUGACGGUACCUACAGAAGAAGGACCGGCCAACUACGUGCCAGCAGCCGCGGUGAUACGUAGGGUCCGAGCGUUGUCCGGAAUUAUUGGGCGUAAAGGGCUUGUAGGCGGUUUGUCGCGUCGGAAGUGAAAACUCAGGGCUUAACCCUGAGCCUGCUUCCGAUACGGGCAAACUAAGGGAUGCAGGGGAGAACGGAAUUCCUGGUGGAGCGGUGGAAUGCGCAGAUAUCAGGAGGACACCGGUGGCGAAGGCGGUUCUCUGGGCAUUUCCUGACGCUUAGAGCGAAAGCGUGGGGAGCAACAGGCUUAAUGCCUGGUAGUCCACCGCCGUAAACGGUGGGCACUAAGGUGUGGGGACAAUUUCCACGUUCUCCGUGCCGAAGCUAACGCAUUAAGUGCCCCGCCUGGGGAGUACGCCGCAAGGCUAAAACUCAAAGGAAUUGACGGGGGCCCGCACAAAGCGGCGGAGCAUGCGGAUUAAUUCGAUGCAACGCGAAGAACCUUACCUGGGUUUGACAUAUGCCGGAAAGCUGCAGAGAUGUUGCCCCCGCAAGGUCGGUAUACAGGUGGUGCAUGGCUGUCGUCAGCUCGUGUCGUGAGAUGUUGGGUUAAGUCCCGCAACGAGCGCAACCCUCGUCCUAUGUUGCCAGCGGAUAAUGCCGGGGACUCAUAGGAGACUGCCGGGGUCAACUCGGAGGAAGGUGGGGAUGACGUCAAGUCAUCAUGCCCCUUAAGUCCAGGGCUUCACGCAUGCUACAAUGGCCGGUACAAAGGGCUGCAAUACCGCAAGGUUGAGCGAAUCCCAAAAAGCCGGUCUCAGUUCGGAUUGGGGUCUGCAACUCGACCCCAUGAAGUCGGAGUCGCUAGUAAUCGCAGAUCAGCAACGCUGCGGUGAAUACGUUCCCGGGCCUUGUACACACCGCCCGUCAAGUCAUGAAAGUCGGUAACACCCGAAGCCAGUGGCCCAACCCCUUGUGGGAGGGAGCUGUCGAAGGUGGGACUGGCGAUUAGGACUAAGUCGUACAAGGUAGCCGUACCGGAAGGUGCGGCUGGAUCACCUCCUU